rnacentral:tRNA from 1 species
GGGUAUAGCUUAGUGGUAGAGUGCUUGCUUAGCAUGCACAAGGUCCUGGGUUCAAUCCCCAGUAAAUCCA